CCCUUAAACAAAAUCUCUCAGCCAGGUGUAAACGACGCAAGGACAAUGGAGGUCGGACUUCAUAUAUGGAUAGCUUCACAUUUACAUCAACCAGAGUUGGAUAGUGGUAACUGCCCAUUGGGUCAUCAUGAACUCGCCAUUCACAAAGUGGAGCUAUUGUGGUCAGUCCCACAGAGAUGCAGAUGGAUUCCUAUUUGGAUAUUUCACUGUUGUUGGACUACCAUCAUUUAAAAUACACAAAUCAAAUUCAUCAAUAAUGUUGUAUAAACUAUUGCCUCUACUUUUAUUUGAUUGACAGCCAAAUAAUAUGUGAUGAGCGUUAAAAUCGCCCAUGAUGAGACAUGGCUUCGGUGUUUCAAGCAACACUUUUUUCAUUUUACGAACAUCAAACCUGCUAUCAUUGGGUGGACAAUAAACACAAAGAAUGUAUAAUUUACCAAUUGAAAUUUCUAUAGCUACACAGAUAUUCUUAAUGGACUCAUAAAAAGUUGUGUUUAUGAUAGAAUGUAAGUUUUGUUUAAUAUGUAUACCUACUCCAUUUUUUGCAUUAUUUGAAAUUUUAUUUACAAUGUUGUAUGGGGCAAAGUUAGGAAUGGUACUUGUACUUUUAAGCCAUGUUUCAUUAAGUAAACAAAUGUCUAUCUGCUGUUCUGCAAGAAAUGUAUUUAAUAGGGCUUUUUUAUGUAACAAACGUUGAAUGUUAAACUGUGCUAAAUGCAAAAAAGUGUCCAUGAUUUAAUUUAAUAAAUUUUCUUUGAGUAU